AGUGAACGCUGGCGGUAGGCCUAACACAUGCAAGUCGAACGGCAGCACAGUAAGAGCUUGCUCUUACGGGUGGCGAGUGGCGGACGGGUGAGGAAUACAUCGGAAUCUACUUUUUCGUGGGGGAUAACGUAGGGAAACUUACGCUAAUACCGCAUACGACCUACGGGUGAAAGCAGGGGAUCUUCGGACCUUGCGCGAUUGAAUGAGCCGAUGUCGGAUUAGCUAGUUGGCGGGGUAAAGGCCCACCAAGGCGACGAUCCGUAGCUGGUCUGAGAGGAUGCUCAGCCCCACUGGAACUGAGACACGGUCCAGACUCCUACGGGAGGCAGCAGUGGGGAAUAUUGGACAAUGGGCGCAAGCCUGAUCCAGCCAUACCGCGUGGGUGAAGAAGGCCUUCGGGUUGUAAAGCCCUUUUGUUGGGAAAGAAAAGCAGCAGGUUAAUACCCCGCUGUUCUGACGGUACCCAAAGAAUAAGCACCGGCUAACUUCGUG
rnacentral:rRNA from 1 species